UUCAAAAUUGUGAGGGGUUUAUUUGCGAAAAUAUCCCAAACACUUUGCACAUGUAGCUCCUCCGUCCGAGUUCUUGGUCCGCGUGUGAAUGGCGACGAAGGGCGUGGCUCCGGCGUCGGUGCCGGCAGUGGGGACGAGUGGCAGUGCGGUGCCCGGCGGCGGCGGUGGGACUGAUUGGGAGCAUGGUAAUUUCGCUGGCUCUAGCGGUGUAGACGAUUGGGAAUGCAUUGAUUCCGAUCGUUAAAAGGCUGCAGGACAUCUUAGUGCUGGUUGAGAGGCCGUCGAGCAUUGAUCUUGUUGAUUAGGGUUCUUUGUUAUUCCCUGUUCAAAUCACUUUUGUGGAUUUGCCUGGAAUUACUGAAGUGUCAGUUGGUAACCGGCCAGAGGCUGCUGUGGCUAGAAUUAGAACAAUGAUCAGGCUAUAUAUCAAACCUUAAACUUGCAUUAUUUUUAGCAGUUUCUCUAGUAAAUGCUGAUCUAGCAAACUCUGAUACACUUCAGAUGGCAAGGAUUGCUGAUCCAGAUGGUUCUUGAACAAUUGGUGUCAUAACAAGAAGAACUGAUGCUUGCUACCUCCUGUUGGAAAAUGUCAUCCCUGUUAGACUUGGUUUUGUUGGUGUAGUGAAUCAUGCCCAACAGGUAUACGGUAUACCAUGGUCAAUAUCAUUGUUGUGGUAUUCCUUAAUUAGGUGGGAAACUAAAUCAGGUUUGUGUUAACGUUGAUUUUAUUCAUCAUUGAACCACUAGUAACUUAUCUUGGUAGGAGUUGAAAUUUAUGGCUUUUUAUUUUGUAUUAUUAGUGCACUUUAUGGAAUUCCUUGAAAAAUAAAAAAAGUAAAAACAAGUGAGUGCCAAACAGAUUUAUAAUGAUGUCAUAUGAAUGGAACAUCUAUUGCUUUACUUCUAAAAUCUCAUGAACCAUGCUUGGAGGCAAUUCAAAUUUUCUGUAUUGCUGUAAAUUCGAAUACUACCAUCAGAAUGUCAAAUUUCUUUCAGUGAUUUUAGAAUAAAAAAAAAUUACUCAACAUAAAUGAGACAAUAGGUUGACGAACAAAAUGUUCCUUUUUGAACAAUCAAGAUAAUGAAGGAUGAUAAAGGAGUUGAAUGCCGGUCUUAGUAAACAUCUCCGUACAUAUACUUUCAUGCUUACAUUAUGAAAUACCUGAUGUGAUAUUAAUAUUUCUUAUUCAUAUACUGCAGUAACACAAAUAUUAGAGAAAAUCCAUAGUUAUGCAUCAACAUUAGACAAAAAUGAAGAACAUAAUUAAAGAAAUGUGUUGUAGGAAAGAUAAAUGCAAAGACGUGACCAUUUCCACAUCUUAAAGGUCCUAGCUAAGUGAAAAAAAAUAUAUCAUUCAGCAAAACUUGUAAUGUUCGUCAUCUACUUCAAACAAAAUUCGAUCUCUUUCAUCAUCAGCCAUCAAGCAUUUGUAUGCUAUAUCAAUUUAUCAUGUGGAAUUUCUGUACUCUUUCAUCAUCAUACACUCUGUUGAAAGCUCUUGUGCAAAGAUCAAAGAUUGGCUGGAUUUAAUUGUUUCAAAUCCAUCUUUAAUUGUGGUGGCCACUCGUGAAUUGCAUCAGAUUUGGUGUUUGCUUUGCGUUUGGCUUUCCUUUUCCUUCUUCGUGUUGAGCUUGUUAUGGACAUGGGUUGAGAAGUCUCUGGCCAGCUAUGGUUCAACAAGGAGGCAUUGCCAUGUUCAUCUGUCUCCCCAAACAAUAAAUCAUGGAGCCAUGUUCAUCUGGCUCCAUGAUGUAGUCUGUUUGUGUGCCAAUAGGAUUUAAUUUUUUCAAAUGCAUCUUUAAUGUUGUUUUUCCAUGGAAAUAACAAUCACAAAAUUUACUUUUGAAAUAAUAUUAUUGCAUAGUCUGGAAGAUCAUUAAAGAUCUUGUGCCCAAGACAAUUAUGCACUUCCUGAUAACUUCUUUGAAUCUUUAGUAAGUCCUAGAUUUUCUUAUGUCAAUCCAUGCAGCUCUGUUUCAAAUGUAAUGCAAACUUUAGAUAAAAUUUUUAGGCUCAUACUUCAUGUUUUCAUUAUGAAAAUAGGUCUAGAUUUGCAUGGAUGAAUGGUCUUUAUCUUGUUCUAGAUAAAUUCUAUUUUUGGUCAUUCACUGAGAAUAUCUGCACAGAUUUUCAUAUUGGGCAAUCUAGUCUGAUUAAACUGUAUUGCUGAUUUAUCAUGAACACACAAUCUAGCACACAGAUAUGUAGAAUUAAACACUCGCAUUCAAGCACGAGGACUCACAUGUGUGCACAGAAUUUGUUUUGAUUGCCAGUUUAAUUUCAUGUUGUUAGAAUUAAAAAGGCAGCACCUGUUUAGAGAUCGGCCAAAUUCCAUUCAGAUACUGCAUUGUAUAUUAUUUGGUUUUGUACUCUUUUGACUGUUAAAUAUGGCAACCUUGAUCAUCUUGCAAUUACUGAAUUCUAAUCACCAUGCACUCAUCAAACACACUAAUCCAUGUUUUGAUCACGGAGCUUUAUAGGUACGAUAUAUACUAAAAUCACUGCCUCGUAUUUAAAUGCUGAGUUGUAAGUAUUGUUGCCUUUCUCCAUAUCAAGAUCUUGUGAGUUAAUUGUAUAACCCUUAAUUAGGAAAGAUUGAUUUGAUUAUCUGCUAGGGGUAUCUGAUGAAGUGGUUGCAGAAAGGGUGCAUAUCCAAUAAAUGUACAAAGUAUUACAGCAGGCUUCUCAGGUGACAAGCACCAGAACCCAGGGAUGUGCAUGUGUGGGGAGCAAGACUCAACGCUGACCCACGUGCCCUCACUUUACGUAGGACAUGAGGUUCGAUCUCGGGUCCUCCCCGAAACGAACGCCCUACGCAAAGGACCCGAUACCAAUUGACCCAAAGGUCGUUGGUUAUAUCUCACUUAUCUUAACUUUAACUUAUUGAGAUUUAUAUGAGGAGCCUAAACUCUCAUAAAAUUAAUUUUUUCCUGUGGAGGUUGAACUCGCGUCAUCGACUUUAAUAUGGUUUUUGUGUUUUA